rfam:Picea glauca, whole genome shotgun sequence.
ACAUGCUUACGACAUAGUGUUAAUGCACCAGAUCCCAUUAGAAAUUUGUAGUUAAGCGUGCUUGGGAAAAAGUAGUACUGGGAUGGGUGACUGUUCGGGAAGUCCUAGUAUUUUACAUGCC